rnacentral:rRNA from 1 species
CACAAUGGGGGAAACCCUGAUGCAGCCAUGCCGCGUGUAUGAAGAAGCCUUCGGGUUGUAAAGUACUUUCAGUAGGGAGGAAGGCAGUGUCGUUAAUAGCGGCAUUGUUUGACGUUACCUACAGAAGAAGCCCCGGCUAACUCCGUGCCAGCAGCCGCGGUAAUACGGAGGGUGCGAGCGUUAAUCGGAAUUACUGGGCGUAAAGCGCAUGCAGGCGGUCUGUUAAGCAAGAUGUGAAAGCCCGGGGCUCAACCUCGGAACAGCAUUUUGAACUGGCAGACUAGAGUCUUGUAGAGGGGGGUAGAAUUUCAGGUGUAGCGGUGAAAUGCGUAGAGAUCUGAAGGAAUACCGGUGGCGAAGGCGGCCCCCUGGACAAAGACUGACGCUCAGAUGCGAAAGCGUGGGGAGCAAACAGGAUUAGAUACCCUGGUAGUCCACGCCGUAAACGAUGUCUACUUGGAGGUUGUGGCCUUGAGCCGUGGCUUUCGGAGCUAACGCGUUAAGUAGACCGCCUGGGGAGUACGGUCGCAAGAUUAAAACUCAAAUGAAUUGACGGGGGCCCGCACAAGCGGUGGAGCAUGUGGUUUAAUUCGAUGCAACGCGAAGAACCUUACCUACUCUUGACAUCCAGAGAACUUUCCAGAGAUGGAUUGGUGCCUUCGGGAACUC